rnacentral:tRNA from 1 species
AAGAAAUUAGUUUAAUAGAAAACAUUAAUAUGUCAAAUUAAAAUUGCUAAAUAUUGUAUUUCUUU